AUUUCAUUAUGGUGACACUUUCUCACUAUCACUUUGAAUCUUUCCCAAGCUUUAAAGACCGUUUCAGUAUCCUUCUGGCAGAAAUUGUGGAUUUCCCUCUUGAAUUU
rfam:Nicotiana attenuata strain TT chromosome 1, whole genome shotgun sequence.